CGCAGCUACAGACCAGUGCUGACACAGGAGCGAUGUAGAGUUCAGUCUAUCAGCUGCAUGGGGAAUGUGUUUCACUUGACAUUUUUAUUGCCAUCCUUGAGUUUUCGUGCUACUCCCAGCCACUUGACACGGACAUGAGUACACUUCACGACAUGUUUCAACCAAACGCUGUGUGGUUCACUGGACCAAGUGCUUACAGUCGACCUCGCCGCUCGUGCCUGGCUCACGCACCUGCUAUCAGCGGCGUCAGGCGGAGGAUUAGCAGCAGCAUCAUUCAUAUCUACUGGAACCACUGUUUCAUCGCUAUAACUUAUAAUUGUAAAUAAUCCACUGAAUCGCAGUGCGAAAAUAUUUGCGGCGAAAGUAAAUAUUUAUAUAAUUAUUCAUUUCUAUAACUUUUCUGAUUUUUUCUGGCAUUUUAAUUCUCGUGAGAGUAGUGUCUACUUGUGUGUGUGUGGAUGCGGUUG